GCCCCUGUCGUAUAGCGGUCUAGUACGUCGCCCUCUCACGGCGUUAACACCGGUUCAAAUCCGGUCAGGGGUACCC
rnacentral:tRNA from 1 species